rnacentral:rRNA from 1 species
GAUGAACGUUGGCGGUACGCCUAAUACAUGCAAGUCGAACGGAGAUUGUAGCAAUACGGUCUUAGUGGCGAACGGGUGAGUAACGCGUUGGUGAUCUGCCUUGAAGUGUGGAAUAACGGUUCGAAAGAACCGCUAAUACCGCAUAGUCUCUCUUGUUUAGAAAUUAGAGAGUAAAGGAUUUAUCCGCUUCAAGAGGAGCCUGCGUCCCAUCAGCUAGUUGGUAGGGUAAAAGCCUACCAAGGCUAUGACGGGUAGGGGACCUGAGAGGGUGACCCCCCACAAUGGAACUGAAACACGGUCCAUACACCUACGGGUGGCAGCAGUAGGGAAUAUUAGUAAUGGAGGAAACUCUGAACUAGCGAUACCGCGUGCGCGAAGAAGGCCUUCGGGUUGUAAAGCGCUUUUUGAGAGGAUGAGGAAGGACGGUACUCUCAGAAUAAGUCUCGGCUAACUACGUG